rnacentral:rRNA from 1 species
GACGAACCGUCCAAACGUUGUUCGGAAUCACUGGGCUUAAAGGGCGCGUAGGCGGGUGACCAAGUCCGGGGUGAAAUCUUUCGGCUCAACCGGAAAACUGCCUUGGAUACUGGUCGUCUCGAGGGAGGUAGGGGUCUGUGGAACUGAUGGUGGAGCGGUGAAAUGCGUUGAUAUCAUCAGGAACGCCGGUGGCGAAAGCGACGGACUGGACCUCCACUGACGCCUGGAGGCGCGAAAGCUAGGGGAGCAAACGGG